UUGCUUUGGCAGCACAUCCACUAAAACUGGAACACACAGAGAAGAUUAGCAUGGCCCCUGCGCAAGGAUGACAUGCAAAGUUGUGACGCGGUCCCUACUUUC
rnacentral:snRNA from 1 species